AUGGAAUCAUGUGAUGCGUUGCAGAAAGCAUCCUGCAAAGAAACCAGUUUCGAGUAGCGCUUCGUCUGUAACUCCGGUCCUUCACUGAGUUAAACAGCGCGCCAACUAUUCGGACCGCUGUGCUGGCGGAGUUGCAGGUUUUCGAGCAGAUAUUGCUGCCCGCGUCCGCUUCCGGGCAAGCGUACGCUCUGCUCGUAGAGCUUCCGGCAAUCGAUCCUGGAAGGCGUCUAAGUCUGCAAUGAAGAGCACCUGGUGUGCCCAGCCGCAAAGCGGUCCGAAACGCUCUCGGAACAGCGCACCGAUCUCCUCGUGCCGCUUCUCAGUCAGGGAUUUCGUUCGCCAGUCCGGCGCGUAGUGGCGCAGCGUCAGUUGCCACACAUGCGUGUCGACGGGCACCUCGUGCGCGCAGUCCAACGACAGCAGCGCGAUGCACGAAGCGACCUUGCGCCCGACACCUGGCAAUGUUACAAGUUCCCGAAUAACCUCAUCCUUGUUUUCCCGAGACCGCAAACCUCGCAGAUACGAGUUGCCGCCGCGCGACUCCAGCUCCUUCGCAGUAUUCACCACAAAUUCCGCACGAUACCCGAAACCGUUCGCCCGCAGUUCUGCAACACUCGCUUGAGCUGCGAGCUCGGCAACGCUCGGGAAUGCGUAAUAUUCAUCAUCGGCCAAACCCGCGGGUACAGAGCCGAUCGCCCGCCCGUAGCGUCGAGCGAGAAACUCGACCAUGCCCGAGAUGCGUCGAAUAUGGUUAUUACUCGAACAUAGGAACGAGAACAGACAUUCGACCGGGUCCUGGCGAAGAACUCGCGUUCCCUGGAAGAAAGGUGCAACGCUACGAAAAUGCGGAUCACUGCUGCUCCAAUCCUCAUAUAAACUGACUAGAGAUGGUGCAUCAUCGGAUAGCCGCAAAAAAUCCUGUAGCACGAGGCGGGCGCGAACUGGAUCAACGGUAGCCGGCGCGUAGCAGUAGCGCAGCGUGGUGGCAUCGGGUCGGUAGAGGUUCCAAGCGAGUUCAGCAUGUACGCCGCACCAAAGACCAUUCUCGCGUUGUUUCCAGCGAAAAGUCUGUCCGGCUUCUAGACAUAAAGGAAGAUCCAGCUCCUCCACAGGUACGGCGAUCGCGUACCACGGCGAGAAACAGGUCUUGUGCGGAGGCCCGGCCUCGCCCAGGCUAGCGACGCUGCCCCGUAGUGCGAGGGCAAUCUUGCUAAGGCGUCGCUUCGCUCUAAGCUUACUUUCAGAGCGCACUACACUCGCACUGAUUAUGGUGGUUGCGAACCCCACAGUGGCUUCGACUCGUUUGCGGGUCAUGGCGGCGACAAGUGGAGCCCAUGCAAUCUCCGCAAUGACUGAAGCGGGAAACGCCGCCUGCGGGAAAAUACUUCGCCCCGGAGCGCUUGACGCAGCCUGGCGGCUACGGUGGUAAUGGGGGCACCGACUCCACAGGCUAAUGGGCACCUUUUCUGGGCACGCGUAAAAGAGUCGGAUUGCAGCGCGUGCUUCAGGUAACGUUGGAGGUUCUUGUGGGUGCAAGCGGCUGUUGUUACUUCGCAAAGCUGUGCACGCUGACGACGUAACGCUUGUAGUUGCCGAGGGUGCGCACCAGCGCUGCGGUAGCCCACGAACGGUUUGCGCUGCGGGGUGUGCGCUUCAGCCCUAAACCUGAAAAGGUAUUGGCUUUUAAGAAUAAAAGAAGCAGCAAGUCCGCGCUUUGUUCGUAAGGUUACCCAGAAGUAGCCCCAGCUGUUCGGAGCUGUGCGUGGCUCCGCUUCGCUGACGUGCUUAUCGACAACGUCCAGCACGGAACAGCACGACGGUAAUGCACUACCUGGUGAGGCGAAGCACGUAAGGAUAGGUUAGGGUAACGAAGCGCUGCUGUGCACGCACCUGCAACAGCGCUCGGUACCGCUUCGACUGCAGAUACGCGAAAGCUUCUUCGAAAGCACGCUGCGUAUCCGAUACAGUGCCAACCAUGAUAGACACUAGAGAUGUGCCAGACAACAAAAGAGGCCUGUAAAAUGCGCAUCGCUUCAGUUUAGCGGGUGUUUGGCCAAGAUCGCGCUUCCGCACCGAACCGCUGCCUCCAUACCGUCUGACGCUGGUCGCUCUCCGGCCGAGUCCUCGGUUCGGUAUAGGAACGUUCGAGCAAGCGGUUUCUGCGAGCGUCCGCUUGGCUACCCAGAACAAUGCGAGGUUGCCGCGCACGUUCUCGACUCGUUAACUCGAAGGGUCUUGUGGUGCAACGCGAAAGAAUCUCGGUUUUUUAUCGAUAUUUUCAAAGAAAUCACCGGUGCCGCUAUGUUCCGCGAGAACUGCACGCCGCGACUCACGUUGCGUGCUAUGCAUGAGACGGGUCUGUGUUCUGCCUCGGUUGCGGAGCGCUUUUUCAACGAGACCGGAACAAGUCUGCCUGAUUCGGUUGGAACUUGUAUCGUGAGGGUGCUGAGCUCGUGGCUUCCUGCUGCGCUCUCAUAUUCAUGGAUCAUCUUUUCUCUCCAUUCGUAGAAGGCUUCAGCAACGCGAGAGAACGUCCGAAAGGCAUGCCUGCCGGUGUGGUAAGCGCCUGCUCCUCAAUGCUGGUGUUCGUGAAUCAGACAAUGCUCGUCUGGUGGUGGAAGCGCUUGCCAAACGCCGGCACGCUUCCCGCGUCUCGCGGCUUCGUUGAAGAGCACACCAACUUGGGGAAUCGGCAGAGAAGGACACUAGAGUGCAACGUUUUAGCACCCUCUCAACGAGUUCCGAAAUCGUUUUCUGCAGCAUAUGCAGCACACAGCAACCUCUGGACGGGGCAUAUGCAGGUAUUGUCUGCGGUUCAGCGUGUCGCGCUCAUACGCAAAUCCCGUACACAUCUGCCACCAGUGGACGGACACAACACAGAAUCCACGCGCCGCGAAUGCCAAUAUACGGUACCGCAUCAGUGGCUUCUGAGUGAGAGAGAGUGAUAGAAAAAGACACACAACACAACACAACACCGCAUGCAUGAACCGUGCAUACCAAUGUAUGUCACCGGAUCAGCGGCUUCUGCGCAUGCAGUUAUCGAGGCUGCGAGGAAGACAUUGUGUAGGCUCCUGCGGCGGGUCACGGCGUCUCGAGUCAAGUGGACCCCGCCUAGAUAGUCACUCACGCUUGGCUACCGAGGUCAGCUGCCAACCGAGGCAAAAUAACGUCAGACGCUACACCACAUUCGACACGGUCAUCCGACCAUGCCACGUUGUGUUUCACAGACUAUCAACCAUAAAAAGAUGCAUGCAA